rnacentral:lncRNA from 1 species
AAACAGUUGUUGCUAAACAUAAGCACUUUUUUUAUGCUGUUGUCAAUGUCUGAUAAGUAGUGAAUGAUGCAGCUAGUGAUUUCACAAGAUCAAAGCAACCACAGCGGCAUGACUGAUCUAUUUGGCGAGCUGGUACCAACCUUUUUGUCUGGCAGGAGAUGUAUUCUUUGCCAGAAUUGUAUUUUUUCUUUGCCUCAACCUUCUUCCAUGUUUCUGGGCAUUUUGUAUAUUUUCAUGAAUAUCCUGGCACUUGUACACCAUCCAUAAUUUAAAUAAAAUUGUUAUUCACUACAGAUUACUGUCCUAUUGAAUAAGUAUUAUGAAUUACAACUAGAACUGAGAUUGUGUCAUGCAAACAACACAGAGGGCAAGAUGCGAGAUCACGUGGUGCAGGAUGUUGAGUUUGCUUUUCGUACCGCAACUCUUUUGCACUUAAUGACUGCUGUUUUUCAAACCAUGCUUUUGUAUGGUUAGGAAGGCCAAACUUAACAAAAAAACUUACCAGGGUAUUCUGUGGUGUCAUGGGGGCAAAAUUUUUUCCCUAAUGUUUAGUUUGCCCUUCGUAUCUGCAGUGCCUCAGUUGUAGUUCCUUUUCCACUCUUGCCAGCAGUUACUUUGUUAUUUUCCCUCUCUGCUUUUUGUUUGCUGAUAUCAUUCAAG